rnacentral:rRNA from 1 species
GAUGAACGCUGGCGGCGUGCCUAAUACAUGCAAGUCGAGCGAACAGACGAGGAGCUUGCUCCUCUGACGUUAGCGGCGGACGGGUGAGUAACACGUGGAUAACCUACCUAUAAGACUGGGAUAACUUCGGGAAACCGGAGCUAAUACCGGAUAACAUAUUGAACCGCAUGGUUCAAUAGUGAAAGACGGUUUUGCUGUCACUUAUAGAUGGAUCCGCGCCGCAUUAGCUAGUUGGUAAGGUAACGGCUUACCAAGGCGACGAUGCGUAGCCGACCUGAGAGGGUGAUCGGCCACACUGGAACUGAGACACGGUCCAGACUCCUACGGGAGGCAGCAGUAGGGAAUCUUCCGCAAGGGGCGAAAGCUUGACGGAGCAACGCCGCGUGAGUGAUGAAGGUCUUCGGAUCGUAAAACUCUGUUAUUAGGGAAGAACAAAUGUGUAAGUAACUAUGCACGUCUUGACGGUACCUAAUCAGAAAGCCACGGCUAACUACGU